GUUCAUUCUAUGGACGUAACCUGCAAUUAUCGCCAUGGCUGGGGCUCGGGUUCGGGUUCGGACUCGGGCCCUGCCCCGUAAUUACGAGUAUGGGCCACGAUCCGGGCAACUGUUGAACCCUCAUCAUAGGAGUAUCGCCAGCCGGCCAGCUGGCGGCUCGAACUUCAACCGGAACCCUUCCUCCCCAUCCAAUCUGAGCGAGCUGUGGCACAUAAAAGUAUCAAAAACAGAGACCCUAAUCUCAUUAUGCCACUUCAAACGGAUGCCAGUCAUUCAAUCAGUCACUCACUCACUCAUUGCAGCAUUUCAUCAAGUGGAUUGAGAACUCACCGCCAGAGAGACAUGGCUUCAAAGGGAAUUCAAAACAGUUUGGGUCCUUAGCUUGGACAUUCUCGAUUGAUGCGCCAUAAAAACGAACGCAAUUCGAAGCAGAUACUGACUUCAGAGUACCAGAGUACACCCAAAAAAGGGUGCCAAUAUUCCCACAGCUAACUGCCGUAUUAUGGGCAUGCAAUAUUCCAUCUUCACGUAGAUUUCUGCCCGGAAAGAUGUCUUUUGUUGGAGAAUAUUUUCAUUCAAAAUUCCAUUCACAGAUGCGUGCAGAUUGUGCCUCUGAAGUUUUGCCCAAAUUUUGCUGGAAUUCCCUUCUCUGAUUGCAUCCUCAUCGAUCUUCUAUCUGCUGUCUGGCAUCUGGUAUCGCCUCGCCGCACUUUUCAUGCACCGAGUAGCAAGUGGCAAAUAGCAAGUGGCAAGUGGCAAGUGGGUUUGCCUCUCUUCCUCGGGGCAACACCUCAACAAAAUGCUUAACCCUAUUAGGCUCCGCCCACUUGGUGGCUGGUUGUCUGUUUUAAUUGCUGGAAAUCCUUGGCUUUUCUUCAUUUUCGGUUCUCCGCAAUUUGCAUGCGUCGAUGUGUCGAUGGAGAGAGGUGGGGUGUGAGGGCGAGGGCGAGGGAGGUCUGCCAAGAAGUUGCCCCAGCACUUUGAGUGCGGUUUCCUCCUCCGUUCCUGCUUGUGCCCCCUCUCACUCUCUUCUGCAGUAUGUAGUUCUGUUCGGAUUGGGACUCGAGUUUGGGACUGGCACUGGGACUCGUCUCUUGGCCAGGAUAAACAUGUUAAUUUUGAAAAAUGCAAAAUUUCUAUAAUCCGA